GGCUAUCGGGGUCCGAUUCAGCCAUGCUAGUUGUACGGGUUUAGACCCGUAGCAAAUAGCUCCGUAACACGUGGUCAAACUACCCUCUGGACCGGAAUACCCUCGGGAAACUGAGGCUAAUCCCGGAUACUGCUUUCAUGUUGGAACACAGAAAGUCGGAAACGGUCCGCCGCCGGAGGACGUGACUGCGGCCGAUUAGGUAGACGGUGGGGUAACGGCCCACCGUGCCGAUAAUCGGUACGGGUUGUGAGAGCAAGAACCCGGAGACGGUAUCUGAGACAAGAUACCGGGCCCUACGGGGCGCAGCAGGCGCGAAACCUUUACACUGCACGCCAGUGCGAUAAGGGGACCCCGAGUGCGAGGGCAUACAGUCCUCGCUUUUCGUGACCGUAAGAAGGUCUCAGAAUAAGAGCUGGGCAAGACCGGUGCCAGCCGCCGCGGUAAUACCGGCAGCUCGAGUGAUAGCCACUAUUAUUGGGCCUAAAGCGUCCGUAGCCGGCCGAACAGGUCCGUCGGGAAAUCCACCCGCUCAACGGGUGGACGUCCGGCGGAAACCAGUCGGCUUGGGGCCGGGAGACCAGAGAGGUACGUCCGGGGUAGGAGUGAAAUCCUGUAAUCCUGGACGGACCGCCGGUAGCGAAAGCGUCUCUGGAGAACGGACCCGACGGUGAGGGACGAAAGCUUGGGUCUCGAACCGGAUUAGAUACCCGGGUAGUCCAAGCUGUAAACGAUGCUCGCUAGGUGUGGCGUUGGCUACGAGCCAGCGCUGUGCCGUAGGGAAGCCGAGAAGCGAGCCGCCUGGGAAGUACGUCCGCAAGGAUGAAACUUAAAGGAAUGGCGGGGGAGCACUACAACCGAGAGGAGCCUGCGGUUA
rnacentral:rRNA from 1 species